rnacentral:lncRNA from 1 species
AUAUAUAUAAGGAUGAGGUUACUUAGCGUAAACAUAUAUUUAAGACCUUAAGCGCUUUUAUGAGACAACAGUCUUUAAAGUAGAUAUAAGUGCAAGAAGCUACUAGGGAUAUAAUUAAGUGUUUGAUUAUAAAAGAAACAAUAGUGUUUAGAAAAUCAGGAAAUAGUAUAAUCUCAUAAUGAGCAUAUAAAGCAUAAUUUUUAACCGAUGGAAGCCAAACGAUAUGAAUCUAGCAAAUAAUCAAGAAAGAAAAGAAUACUCAUUCUAUCAUACUAGUUUUAGAAAGUAAAUAUGUAGACUUCUGUUUUCAGAUUGGAAAACCUUUACAUGAUGAGGAACUGUAGAAGAAAUACACAGUUCAAUCGAAGAGCCAACAUAAUCCAUUUCUAAAAGACUAAAACUUAGAAAGUUAUAUUUACAUUUAAAAGUGCAUGACAAUUGAGUCACCAAUACUUAUUAGGAACCAUCCCUUCUUCAAUGUCUAUUGAUACUAGCUUCUAAAAUGUCGUUUUGACGGCAUCCUUCUGCACUGGGGGCAGUGGAAGUAGAGGCUGGAGCUCCUAUCCUUAAAGUCAAGUGGCUUUAUGGUAGGGGAGUAUGUUUUAAGUAUGUAAUGGCCUUAGGCGUCAAAGUGACAUCAAUAUUUGUUGGGGGGGCUUGAAAAAGAGAUGGACGCAAUACAGUUUAAGGUCCUUGAAUGAUAGCUUAGCCAGCCACUUAAUAGAAUGACAAUUUUCCUAACCUCUAUGUGCUCAUUUAAAAUAAUUAUAACUUUCGAGAGGUCUUACUCUUUGCUCAAAAGUAAACCUUUUUCCCAAAAAGGAAAAGAAAAAAAAAACUUGGUAUUAGAAAAAUAUUAGACAAAUUUUG